ACCUCGCGCCGUCAAGCGUGAUUGCGUUUUCGCCACAUGGAGGGCGGGGAGGAGCGUUUUACGACACCUUGGGAAGGCAAUAUACGGCAGUAGGAGGGGCGAGAAAGAAGGAGAAAAAGAAUAGGAGCAAGAGCAACUUUCAAAAAUGAGUGACAGAAAGGCAGGAAGUGGGAGGUGGCGACCGCCCGUAACAGUUGACUGUAAUGAUUGCCGUUUAUUGCAGACCCGCUAUUUUUAGGCACUGUGAGAGACAUUUUACAUUUUAUGACCUCCUUACUUCAACAAUCUCAUAAGGCAGUAUUAUCCUCUCUUUACAGGUGGUUGAACUGAGACCCAAAGAGGUUGAACAACUUGCCAAAGUCUCGCAAGAAGAAAGUCAAAGUGUCAAGAUUUGAAUCCAGGUCUAAAACUCAAAAGCAAACCCGAGAGCCAGAAGGAGGCUUCUGAGAUACUGGUAGUGACUCCCAGAGUAGGAUUGCUAAAAGGUAAAAGGUCUUUGAACAUAAUUUUGAAAAGAAAAAAUAAUGGAAUCAUUUUCCAUAACCAUAAUAUACUAUUUUCAUGUCUGCUAAUGUACUCUCACUUUUUUAAGCUAUUACAUUUAAGUCUGCGAUCUAUUUAAGCUAAUUUUUGUAGAUGGUAAGAGGUAGAGGCCCAACUUCAUUCUUUUGCAUGUGGAUAUCCAGUUAUCCCGGCACCAUUUGUUGAAAUUCUUGCCCCUUUAGAUGUUUUGGGAAAUUUGUGAAGAACCAAUUGGCUACAAAUGUGAGGGUUUAUUUCUGCACUCUCAAUUCUAUUCUGUUUGAUCUGUAUGUCUGUCCUU